rnacentral:rRNA from 1 species
CCUACGGGAGGCAGCAGUGGGGAAUAUUGCACAAUGGGGGAAACCCUGAUGCAGCGACGCCGCGGGAGUGAAGAAGAAGUUCGGUAUGUAAAGCUCUAUCAGCAGGGAAGAAAAUGACGGUACCUGAGUAAGAAGCCCCGGCUAACUACGUGCCAGCAGCCGCGGUAAUACGUAGGGGGCAAGCGUUCUCCGGAUUUACUGGGUGUAAAGGGAGCGUAGACGGCAGCGCAAGUCUGAAGUGAAAUGCCGGGGCUUAACCCCGGAACUGCUUUGGAAACUGUGCAGCUAGAGUGCAGGAGAGGUAAGUGGACUUCCUCGUGUAGCGGUUACAUGCGUAGAUAUUCGGAGGAACCCCAGUGGCGAAGGCGGCUUACUGGACUGUAACUGCCGUUGAGGCUCG